rnacentral:rRNA from 1 species
AAGGAAUAUUGGUCAAUGGGCGGAAGCCUGAACCAGCCAUGCCGCGUGCAGGAAGACGGCCCUACGGGUUGUAAACUGCUUUUGCACCAGAAUAAACCUUCAUAUGUAUAUGAGGCUGAAAGUAUGGUGAGAAUAAGGAUCGGCUAACUCCGUGCCAGCAGCCGCGGUAAUACGGAGGAUCCGAGCGUUAUCCGGAUUUAUUGGGUUUAAAGGGUGCGUAGGCGGCCUGUUAAGUCAGGGGUGAAAGACGGUAGCUUAACUAUCGCAGUGCCUUUGAUACUGACGGGCUUGAAUGUAGUUGAGGCAGGCGGAAUGUGACAAGUAGCGGUGAAAUGCAUAGAUAUGUCACAGAACACCAAUUGCGAAGGCAGCUUGCUAAAGUAAGAUUGACGCUGAGGCACGAAGGCGUGGGGAUCAAACA